GAUGAACGCUGGCGGCGUGCCUAAUACAUGCAAGUCGAGCGAAUGGAUUAAGAGCUUGCUCUUAUGAAGUUAGCGGCGGACGGGUGAGUAACACGUGGGUAACCUGCCCAUAAGACUGGGGUAACUCCGGGAAACCGGGGCUAAUACCGGAUAACAUUUUGAACCGCAUGGUUCGAAAUUGAAAGGCGGCUUCGGCUGUCACUUAUGGAUGGACCCGCGUCGCAUUAGCUAGUUGGUGAGGUAACGGCUCACCAAGGCAACGAUGCGUAGCCGCCCGGAGAGGGUGAGCGGCCACACUGGGACUGAGACACGGCCCAGACUCCUACGGGAGGCAGCAGUAGGGAAUCUUCCGCAAUGGACGAAAGUCUGACGGAGCAACGCCGCGUGGGUGAUGAAGGCUUUCGGGUCGUAAAACUCUGUCGGAUGGGAAGAAAAUCACUGAGGGUAAUAUUCUCAGUGCUUGACGGUACCACUAAAGGAAGCCCCGGCUAACUUCGUGCCAGCAGCCGCCGUAA
rnacentral:rRNA from 1 species